GUUUUAUGGGCAGAGUUAUGCAGUUAUCUAUGCAUAUGUUCAUUUCUGCAUGUAUGCAGAGCUAUGUAGUUAUCUAUGCUUAUGUGCAUUUCUGCAUGUCCUGGUCUCUUUCUUUGUUCUUUUUUUUCCCCCUAAUGAACCUGCAUUACUGUGGUGUUAGAUAUCACUUCUACCAUGGAGGAGUCCCAACUCAAAUUAUUUAAAUAGAUAGAGGAACAACUUAGUAAUGAACUCAGCCAAAAACCGUGUCCUAGUUCCAUGUUAGUUUUGUGCUUACUGUUGUCACUAACAUUCUCUGCUCUUCUUUUAAAAGAAUUGAUAAUCCCUCUCGAUUCAGUCCCAUUGCAAUCCAUGCCUGUAUCCGUAGUUGCAGUCUUGUUGCAGCCCAUGCCCAUCUAUGUAGUCUUCAUGGUAAUAAAUGAAUUAUUCAAUCAUUUUAAGUCUCAAAUUUGGACAUUUAAUGUAUAGACAGUUGCAAGUUAGAUGUGAUUGUUGAGAAUUACGGACUCAGGAGUGUGAAUAUCAAACUAGUAAGGCUAAAAGCUGAACUGGACUUUCCAUCACCAAAAUGGCUUAGGCCAGUUUGGUUUGGUUUGCCAUACUUUUUGUGUCCUUUAUAUUUUCUUUGCCCAGCCGAUGUGGGAUUCGUUCAAUAUUCCAACAUUCUUCCUCAAAUGCAAUUGAGUUAGGCUCAAGUUCAUAGGCCCUGUUAUCACUUGGCAUGGCAUGGGAUGACCCAUCUGUUUUAGGACUUGCCAUCAGGAUCUAGCUCCUCCUGGCUAGCCCAGUGGGUCCACCUGAGUUUAGCUCAUCUUUGGCUCAGCUCAUGGGUAGCUCUUUUAGACUCAGCCCACCAUACUUUCAGGUCCCAAAUCUAUGGCCGUUGGCCCUCACUGCUCUAAUGCCAUGCUGGAAAUCACAGGCUCAAGAGUGUGGAUCAUCAUCAAAUAGGCAGGCCUCCAUUCUGAGUUAAGUUUGAAACUGGGCUCCCAUUACCAAAAUGACCUAAGCCAUUUUGAUUUGAUUUGCCAUAAACUAACGAGUAUAAUGAAAUAAACUGUUGGAAUUUAAAGUGGCAUAACUCAAAUCUCAAAUGCUAACAAAAAUAAAUUAAAGGAAAUACAAGAUAACUAGAGACAUAGCU
rnacentral:misc_RNA from 1 species